CGCCGAUCGUCCUGAACAGGAAGAAGAAGUUUGGGAGUCGCGGGGCGGCAGAUUUCAACGCUGACUUUGAGUUUGGAGAGAGAGACGUGCUGGACCAGGACGAGGACUGGGUGAUGGCUGACGUCAUGAAACAGCUCAAGAACAAGAGAACUGCAACUACUCUGGAUCAGAAAAUAGAGAAAAUCCGGAAGAAGAGGAAAGCUGAGGAGAAAUCCGCUCAGAGUGAUGCUGCUGAAGGUUCUGCAGG